rnacentral:rRNA from 1 species
UCCAACGAUGAUCCCAGCUUGCUGGGGGAUUAGUGGCGAACGGGUGAGUAACACGUGAGUAACCUGCCCUUAACUCUGGGAUAAGCCUGGGAAACUGGGUCUAAUACCGGAUAUGACUCCUCAUCGCAUGGUGGGGGGUGGAAAGCUUUAUUGUGGUUUUGGAUGGACUCGCGGCCUAUCAGCUUGUUGGUGAGGUAAUGGCUCACCAAGGCGACGACGGGUAGCCGGCCUGAGAGGGUGACCGGCCACACUGGGACUGAGACACGGCCCACACUCCUACGGGAGGCAGCAGUGGGGAAUAUUGCACAAUGGGCGCAAGCCUGAUGCAGCGACGCCGCGUGAGGGAUGACGGCCUUCGGGUUGUAAACCUCUUUCAGUAGGGAAGAAGCNAAAGUGACUGUACCUGCAGAAGAAGCNCCGGCUAACUAC